GUGAAUAGAAAUCAAUGAAAUUUAAACACAAGGUUUAUGACUAUAUCAGGAAGGUUGGGAUUGAUUUUGGGAGUUUUGGUCCCAACAGUUUAGGAAUAAGGGCCAAAAGGGUCCAAAAUUAAACUUUGUUUGAUUUCAUCAAAAAUUGAAUAAUUGGGGUUCUUUGAUAUGCCGAAUCUAACUGUGUAUGUAGAUUCUUAAUUUUUGGUCCUGUUUUCAAAUUGGUCUACAUUAAGGUCCAAAGGGUCCAAAAUUAAACU
rnacentral:lncRNA from 1 species